UACGGAGGGUGCGAGCGUUGUCCGGAAUCACUGGGCGUAAAGGGCGCGUAGGCGGCCAGCACAAGUCAGUUGUGAAAUCUCCGAGCUUAACUCGGAAAGGUCAACUGAUACUGUGCGGCUAGAGUGCAGAAGGGGCAACUGGAAUUCUCGGUGUAGCGGUGAAAUGCGUAGAUAGUCGAGAGGAACACCUGCGGCGAAGGCGGGUUGCUGGGCUGACACUGACGCUGAGGCGCGAAAGCUAGGGGAGCGAACGGG
rnacentral:rRNA from 1 species